rnacentral:rRNA from 1 species
GCUUAACACAUGCAAGUCGAGCGAAGCGCUUUUGCGGAUUUCUUCGGAUUGAAGCAACUGUGACUGAGCGGCGGACGGGUGAGUAACGCGUGGGUAACCUACCUCAUACAGGGGGAUAACAGUUGGAAACGGCUGCUAAUACCGCAUAAGCGCACAGUACCGCAUGGUACCGUGUGAAAAACUCCGGUGGUAUGAGAUGGACCCGCGUCUGAUCAGCUAGUUGGUGGGGUAACGGCCUACCAAGGCGACGAUCAGUAGCCGAACUGAGAGGGUGACCGGACACAUUGGGACUGAGACACGGACCAAACUCCUACGGGAGGCAGCAGUGGGGAAUAUUGCACAAUGGGGGAAACCCUGAUGCAGCGACGCCGCGUGAGCGAUGAAGUAUUUCGGUAUGUAAAGCUCUAUCAGCAGGGAAGAAAAUGACGGUACCUGACUAAGAAGCCCCGGCUAACUACGUGCCAGCAGCCGCGGUAAUACGUAGGGGGCAAGCGUUAUCCGGAUUUACUGGGUGUAAAGGGAGCGUAGACGGCAUGGCAAGCCAGAUGUGAAAGCCCGGGGCUCAACCCCGGGACUGCAUUUGGAACUGUCAGGCUAGAGUGUCGGAGAGGAAAGCGGAAUUCCUAGUGUAGCGGUGAAAUGCGUAGAUAUUAGGAGGAACACCAGUGGCGAAGGCGGCUUUCUGGACGA